rnacentral:rRNA from 1 species
UACGUAGGGUGCGAGCGUUUGUCCGGAAUUAUUGGGCGUAAAGGGCUCGUAGGCGGUUUGUCGCGUCGGGAGUGAAAUCCACUGGCUUAACUGGUGGCUUGCUUUCGAUACGGGCAGACUGGAGGUAUGCAGGGGAGAACGGAAUUCCUGGUGUAGCGGUGAAAUGCGCAGAUAUCAGGAGGAACACCGGUGGCGAAGGCGGGUCUCUGGACAGUUCCUGACGCUGAGGCACGAAGGCCAGGGGAGCAAACAGG